rnacentral:rRNA from 1 species
AGUGAACGCUGGCGGUAGGCCUAACACAUGCAAGUCGAACGGCAGCACAGUAAGAGCUUGCUCUUACGGGUGGCGAGUGGCGGACGGUUGAGUUAUACAUCGGAAUCUACUUUUUCGUGGGGGCUAACGUAGGGAAACUUACGCUAAUACAGCAUACGUCCUACGGGUGAAAGCAGGGGAUCUUCGGACCUUGCGCGAUUGAAUGAGCCGAUGUCGGAUUAGCUAGUUGGCGGGGUAAAGGCCCACCAAGGCGACGAUCCGUAGCUGGUAUGAGAGGAAGAUCAGACACACUGGAAGUGAGACACGGCCCAGACACCGACGGGAGGCAGCAGUGGGGAAUAUUGGGCAAUGGGGGAAAGCCUGAUACAGCAAUACCGCGUGAGUGAAGAAGGAGUUCGGGUUGUAAAGCCCUUUUGUUGGGAAAGAAAAGAAGCAGGUUAAUACCGCGCUGUAAUGACGGUACCCAAAGAAUAAGCACCGGCUAACUUCGUG